AGAUGAAUUAAAAAUUAAAAUGGGUAAAAAAUUGGGUAAAAGGUGAUCAAAACUCUGACAAAAUAAACCAGAAUACUUUAAAACUUAAAGGUUGUAAAGCCACCCUAUGUAGCCAUAAAUUGCUGACUUUACAGAAAGUGACUUACAGAGAGUAGAACUGUGGUUAUUAGAGACUAGGAAGGGUAAGGGGGAUGGGAGGAUAGAGAGAGGUUGGGUAAGGGAUACAGAAUUACAGCUGGAUAGGAGGAAUUAGUUCUGGUGUUCUGCAGCACUAUAGCGUGAAUAUGGUUAAUAUUGAUUUAUUUAUUGUGUAUUUUCAGAAAGCUAGAAGAGAAGAUUUUGGAUGUUCACAACACAAAUAAAUGAUAAAUAAAUUUUGAGGUGGUGGAUGUGCUAAUUACCCUGAUUCGAUCAUUCCACAUUGUAUCGAAAUACCACUCUAUAUCCCAUAAAUAUGUACAAUUGUUACCUGUCAACUAACAAUAAAAGGAAAAGAAAGUGA
rnacentral:sRNA from 1 species